UUUUGGAACUCACCGCAUUGUUCAUACUGACUGGAUUCCUCGUGAUGUUGUCAGUCUUGUCGCACAUCGCCGAGUGGAUAUUCGUGAUUGUCACACCGAUGACAAAUUAUUUUUUACAUCAAGUGAACGACCUGAUACUUUUAAUCUUGUACUCGUGGUUGCUCUCAGAUCCUGAUCGUCUUAACGGCCCGGCUAAGUUCCCGUGUGACGGUCGAAAUGUUUCACUGCCAAGAGACUGAUUCCUCGAAUAGCCAACGCCCGAACCUCGACGACAUCGACGAGCUUCUUUCUCCCCCUGAUGAAUUAGAUCUUGAAGAAUACCUGGAGAAUAAUGGACCGAGUGGCGGAUCGAGCUGUUCCUGAAGCAUCGCACGAGUAUAAAUAACCUGGCCAUUAUGCAAAUCGUCGAAUUACACGUCAUACGGUGGUUAUGGUUGGGAUAUAUUUUUCCUGUUACGAAUCUACUGGCUUUCAGCUUUGAAAACAAUCGCAUGACAAUUUUUUGCCUAUGAUCAUAUCACAUGUGCUUUUAAACGAAACUACAAUAUCAUUGUACACCGUCGCACAAUAAUCGACGGCGUCAUUUUUUGACGAAAGUAAAAAACGAUUUUAUUUUCGAA